GGCUGGCAGUGGGGUGAUCUUGGCUCACUGCAAUGUCUGCCUCCUGGGUUCAGGUGAUUCUCCUGCCUCAGCCUCCUGAGUAGCUGGGACUACAGGCGCCCACCACCAUGCCCUGCUGUUUUGUAUUUUUGAGAAAUGGAAUCGUCGUAUCGCUGAUCUACGUAAACAAACUGAAGAAUUGUCUGAAAGAAAAUAUGACAUGAACUUAUGAAUUCAACAGGUGAAGAUUUACAACUUGAUAAAUCAGCUUUGUGAGGUACGUCUUCAGUCUUAAGUCAGAUUAGAAGAUUAUGUGAGCUCGAGCUGUAAAAGCCAAAGGUCCGGUGAUGAUCCCAUACCCUUUUUUCCAGUCUCAUGUUGAAGAUUUUUAUGUAGAAGGCCUUCCCAAAGGAAUUUUUUUUUUUUUUUUUGAGAUGGAGUUUUCACUCUUAUCGCCCAGGCUGGGGUGCAAUGGCGCAACCUUGCUGGUCACUGCAACCUCUGCCUCCUGGGUUCAAGAAAUUCUCCUGCCUUAGCCUCCCAAGUCGUUGGGAUUACAGGUGCCCACCACCACACCAGGCUAAUUUUUGUAUUUUUAGUGGAGAUGGGGUUUCACCAUGUUGGCCGGGCCAGUCUCGAACUCCUGACGUCAAGUGAUCUUCCCGCCUCGACUCCUGACAUCAAGUGAUCUUCCCGCCUCGGCCUUCCAGAGUGCUGAGAUUACAGACGUGAACCCAUGCCUGGCCAGGAAUUUUGUUUUUUAGGAAGGCUUUCUACUAAUGGAAUUCCUGGCCUUGAGAGGAUGUUACUUUCAAAGGAAAGGAUUUUUUUGUUAUUAAAAGAAACAGGACCUUGCCCUGUCACUCAGGAUGGAGUUCAGUGGUCCUAUCAUGGCUCAUUAUAGCCUCAAACUCCCAGGCUCAAGCAAUCCUACCAUGUCAGCCUUCCCGUAGCUGGGACUACAGAGACGAGGUUUCGCCGUGUUUCCCAGACUGUUCUCAAACUCCUGAGCUCAAAGCAGUCCACCCACCUUGGCCUCCCAGAGUGCUGGGAUUACAGGUGUGAGCCAUCUUGCUCAUUCUAGUUUAAACUUUUGAGUGGUUUGUGUCUCCUGAUUGGACUCCUACAAAUACAGAAUUGAUGCUAGGAAGGGUACCAGGAGAUAGACGCACACAGAUGGGAUUUGGGAAUAGGUUUGGUUAUCCAAGGAGCAGUGCUGAGCUCCUUGCUAAUGGGAUAUGGGAUGCUGGUGAUUUCCAGGAAGUGAGCUCACAAUGACUCAAGCUGCCACAUACUGUUGAUUGUGAAAUGCCAGUUGAAGCAUAUGUCCUGCGAGAUUAGGGGUGCUACAAGUUGACGACUGCAGCAGUAAAGAUGACUCUGAAGAAUGGCGUGGGAUGGAUCCUUUCAAAUGCACUUGAGCAGCGGUCUCCAACCACAGGGCCACAGAGCUGGAGCUGGAUCUACCAUGAAGGACUUCUGAAUCCAGGAAGAGAGACUGACUGGGCAACAUGUUAUUCAGGAGAUGGGGUCUCACCCUGUCACCCAGGCUUGAGUACAGUAGUGCUAUCACAGCUCACUGCAGCCUUGAACUCCUGGGCUAAGGGUACUCCUACCUGAGCCUCCUGAGUAGCUAGGACUGUAGGUAUACAUGACGAUACUUGGCUAAUUUUUAAAUUGUUUUGUAGACAUGGGGUCUCACUUUGUUGGCCAGGCUGGUGUCAAACUAAUGGCCUCAAGUGACCCUUCCACCCCUGCCUCCCAUCCUAGAGGUAUGUGCCACCACAAGGAGCACUUGUUCAAUUUUCUAAAGAAAAAAUUUCUAAAGUAAGGCUGUGGGAUGAUGGCAGGAAGAUAAAAGAAAAACAGAAGAAUAAGUUAAAAUGACUUAUUCACACAUAUUCUUUUGACAGCAAGAAGAACUUUUAGUAUAUACAUUCCUUACAAACAAACAAACGGCAGAUAAACAACGUUGUAUAGGAACUUCAACACACACUGUACAAUAUUCCCACUUUGCUGACAUAAGUUAUGGAAAUUUCGUGGUUUA